GAAAAGAGAUGUUUUUGUUCCUAAACAUUCUACUGUUAGAAUCAUCGCAAGUGAUAGCAAAUCCAUCGCUACUAGAGAACUGAGCAUUCGUCCUGCCCCUUAGUACUGGUUGUUGUUUGAUCCGAUACUAAUGUGAGCAUUAGUACCGAAUCUAACGGCUAGUCCACGAGGAGCCCCCGUGAACCCCUUUAGUACCGGUGGAGGUUUCGCCCGGUACUAAAGGUCGCCGAUUAGUAUCUGGUAGAGUCUCCACCCGGUACUAAAAUCUCUCUCCGACUCCUCUCUGCCCCUUUAUCUCCCCACCCCCUUGACCAAUUCCUUUAUCUCCCCACCCACCGGGCCUUAUCUUCCCAGGCCUCCUCCAUCACCUCUCUCCUCCCUCUCCUCUCCUCCACACAACCUCC
rnacentral:lncRNA from 1 species